GACGAACGCUGGCGGCGUGCCUAAUACAUGCAAGUUGAGCGCUGAAGGUUGGUACUUGUACCAACUGGAUGAGCAGCGAACGGGUGAGUAACGCGUGGGGAAUCUGCCUUUGAGCGGGGGACAACAUUUGGAAACGAAUGCUAAUACCGCAUAAAAACUUUAAACACAAGUUUUAAGUUUGAAAGAUGCAAUUGCAUCACUCAAAGAUGAUCCCGCGUUGUAUUAGCUAGUUGGUGAGGUAAAGGCUCACCAAGGCGAUGAUACAUAGCCGACCUGAGAGGGUGAUCGGCCACAUUGGGACUGAGACACGGCCCAAACUCCUACGGGAGGCAGCAGUAGGGAAUCUUCGGCAAUGGACGAAAGUCUGACCGAGCAACGCCGCGUGAGUGAAGAAGGUUUUCGGAUCGUAAAACUCUGUUGGUAGAGAAGAACGCUGGUGAGAGUGGAAAGCUCAUCAAGUGACGGUAACUACCCAGAAAGGGACGGCUAACUACGU
rnacentral:rRNA from 1 species